GAUGAACGCUGGCGGCGUGCCUAAUACAUGCAAGUCGAGCGGACCAAAGAGAGCUUGCUCUCUGAGGUUAGCGGCGGACGGGUGAGUAACACGUGGGUAACCUGCCUGUAAGACGGGGAUAACUUCGGGAAACCGAAGCUAAUACCGGAUGAUAAAGAGAAACGCCUGUUUAUUUUUUGAAAGUCGGCCUUGUGCUGACGGUUACAGAUGGGCCCGGGGCGCAUUAGCUAGUUGGUGAGGUAACGGCUCACCAAGGCGACGAUGCGUAGCCGACCUGAGAGGGUGAUCGGCCACGCUGGGACUGAGACACGGCCCAGACUCCUACGGGAGGCAGCAGUAGGGAAUCUUCGGCAAUGGACGAAAGUCUGACCGAGCAACGCCGCGUGAGCGAUGAAGGCCUUCGGGUCGUAAAGCUCUGUUGUCAGAGAAGAACAAGUACCGGAGUAACUGCCGGUACCUUGACGGUACCUGACCAGAAAGCCACGGCUAACUACGUGCCAGCCGCCGCGGUAACAC
rnacentral:rRNA from 1 species